GGGUUCAACCUACAUGUAGAAACAGCAUUCUGCAGUUCAUGUGGCAAGAACAUCACAUUUCUGCAUGAUGCUGCUAAGCCUGGCACAAGUGAAGGAACUGGAAGCACAGGAAAUAGUGCACUGGCUACAUUCCUGAAUUUUCGAAGUUUGAAAGAGAAAGAGAGACAAUCAUGUUUCAAAAAGAAAAAAGAACCACUGAAAGACAGCAGUGUGAAGAUUUCAGUUGGUAUUAUGCGCAUAAAGGAUGGAGUGCUGAAACCUGUCAGAGGAAUGGUACUACCCCUUGUAGUGCAACCAGGGUCGGAUGCAGAGCAAUUGCGCAAAGCAGCCGUACAGAAAAUGAAAGAUUUUAACAAAAAUUUAGAGGCUGGU